GACGAACGCUGGCGGCGUGCUUAACACAUGCAAGUCGAACGCUGAGGCUUGGUGCUUGCCCUGGGUGGAUGAGUGGCGAACGGGUGAGUAAUACGUGAGUAACCUGCCCUUGACUCUGGGAUAAGCCUGGGAAACUGGGUCUAAUACUGGAUACGACAUGCCACUGCAUGGUGGUGUGUGGAAAGGGUUUUACUGGUUUUGGAUGGGCUCACGGCCUAUCAGCUUGUUGGUGGGGUAAUGGCCUACCAAGGCGACGACGGGUAGCCGGCCUGAGAGGGUGACCGGCCACACUGGGACUGAGACACGGCCCAGACUCCUACGGGAGGCAGCAGUGGGGAAUAUUGCACAAUGGGCGGAAGCCUGAUGCAGCGACGCCGCGUGAGGGAUGACGGCCUUCGGGUUGUAAACCUCUUUCAGCACGGAAGAAGCGAGAGUGACGGUACGUGCAGAAGAAGCGCCGGCUAACUACGUG
rnacentral:rRNA from 1 species